GUGAAUCAUCGAAUUUUUGAACGCAAAUUGCGCUUCCUGGCAUCCCGGGAAGUAUGCCUGUUUGAGGGUCAGUAUUAAUAAAAAAUCGGUUAAGAUACAAAUUGUGACGGUUGUGGAGAUUGGGCUAUCUUAACAUUUUUGGUUAAGAGGCUUAAAAUUGACCUUUUUUGCGCAUUUUAAACUGUACUUAAUUUUUUUUUGUUGAUCUUUACUUAAG
rnacentral:misc_RNA from 1 species